GAACACGCCUGCACCUUUCUCUCUGUUUACACGCGCUGCAAAUAUUCAGUUACAGUGUACGCGGUGGAGGAUCUGCCCAUGAGUGUCCACGCAGUAUUUGCUACUAGUUACUUUUUGAUUGAUUAGAGUUGUUCCUAUCCCUCCAAUACUACUAGUCCCUGACGAAGGACAAAUUUAUUUGUAUACAUGUGCAAUGCAAACUGAUCUGCCCGUGUGAGUGUUCCUGGUCAAGGGUGAUUGACUACUAGCUAGAUUCCUGUGAACUAAUAAAGAUCUGUUGUUCCCGUGUACUACUGCUGUUCACGUUUUUUCUCUGUUCCUUCGGCGCAUAAUAGCAUUUGCUGUUCAAGCUCGGUUUCACAUCGAGAAUCGCUGAAACUUUCCAACUUGUACUAGCAGGACCGCUCUGCUAUAAAUCGUCAAACGCCGUUAUGCUAGUUUUUUUUCAUCAUAAAUGGUUGAGCUUAGAUUAUACUCCAUUGGUUGCUGAUCCAUGUUAUGCCUGUCUCUGUAUUUAUACUGGCAAUCGAAGUCUUGGAAAGGAAUACAUUGUUCCAUUAUUAUUUAGCAUAUCAAACUCUGAUUUGUCCAUAAAAUGCAUUAGAAAAUUUCAAACUCAAUGUUUGUUUGUUGCUGAUGCAUUCUAGCUUGGUUGGUUUUAUUUCGCCUGUCAUAGAGAUUACUUGUACUGCACUGUGCUACAUAUAAAUCUUGACAUUUAUAUGCUAAUCUUCCUGAGCUUAUUUGUUUUUGAAUGCUCAUUAUUUUUUCCUUUGAUUUGAUUUAGCUGGACUAGUACAUUUGUUUCUUAAGGAAUAAUCCUAAUUGUCCCUGUUUCCUUAUCAUGGACUAUAUACUUCAAUUUGUAAUCAUGUAGGAUCAGAAUGCCGUACAAUUAUGCUGCUGCGUGCCGGUGAGCACCACCUCCCUUCUCUACCUCAUUUCCGUUGAUGCUAGAUUGCUGCGUUAUUUUCCUUCAUGUAUGUGGGUGUGUGGUAGAAACCUUAGCUAGCUAGCUGUGUGGGUGACAAGAACUACCGCGGCUUGUUGUCGUAAGGUUUUCUCCCGCCUUCCGCUGAUGAAUUUGUGAUGUUUCUGGUUCUGCCUGCUGUGCAAACCAAUCGUUGGUUAGAGCUAGUUUGGCAUGACAAGUGGUCUGUGGUGGUACUGCUAAUGUGGUGCCAAGUCUUUUGCUAAUUUGUAGUUCUGCAGGUAUGUAGAUAGUACGGAAUUGUUCAUUGCUUUCGCUGAAUUUUUCAACAAAGUUAGGAGGUUGUGCCAUCCGGUCCACAGAUAAUUAAUUUGAACCUUGCAUUGCAACAUCGUUACUCCUACAACUUUUUAGUUAAGUUUUGGAUUUCCUGCUGUGCUUAGUGUGAGGUUGGAUUUUAUACUGGACGGGGUCUCAGAUUGUUGCAGUUAUGGUAAUUAACAUUAAAUGAAAGGUUCUUCUUAAUUUGACGUUUCUACUGUAGGUUUCCUCAGUUGGUGUUCAAAGUCUACACUUGUUGUGUUGAUUUUGUAUGGGACAUGAGUAUAAUAUAGUAUUAAUUUUGUAGUAGGCCUAAAUGUUUAUAUCAUUGUCAGGAACUUCCACAUGGGGUGGCUCAUCUGCUUGCUAGUUUAUUUCUUGAUGGCCAGUCUGAUUAAGUUGUUUCGACAGAAUGUCGCUGCUGUAGUCUCAUUCUGGUUGUUACAUUUGGUAUCUACUGCAUUGCAGGGUAAGAAGAGGAAAGACGCUAUCUGCAUAGUCAUUGCAGAUAGCCUAAAGUUAGGAUGAAGAAGUUCAUAGGAAGAGCCUGAUGAGUCUGUGACUUGGCGAUGUUGUCUUUGUCCGUCAAAUGCCAGGACGUGAAAUAUGGGAAUCGUAUCCACACUCAUCCUAUUGGUGAUACAGUUGAAGGCAUUACUGAAACCUAUUUGGUGCCUUCUUGAAAUGGUUGAUUGUGUGUGGUGGUGGUACAGCCAGCCCAAGGUAGUGGUGGCGAUGGCGAGGAUGGGUCAGGAAGGCGCGACUCCGUCUUCGCCUCGGACGAGAACACGAAUACUACCUGCAGAGUAUGAUUGCUGGCCGUGUAUUACUUCCUGGAAGAUGGCAAGGUUCAGUGCUAUGGACCCACAGUUUCAAUGACCAACUUAUGCACAUGACCUGCGACAUAUCUGGGAAAGCAUUCCUUUAUCCCUUCAGAUUGCGAGGACAACGACAAGGCAGGGUGGCAGCUGUGACCUGUGGCUGCUGCAGCUUCAUAUAUGCGCCUUGGUCGUCGAACAAUCUCUAUGCAGGUGGAGUUACAUUUCUACCGCCUUAUCAACUAUGCGAUAGAUAUGGUUGAUGCAUGCUUUGUUGGUGUAACACCAUCUGAACUUGUUGGUGUAACUGUAAAAGCUUUCGCUUAUGUUUGUUGUUCGGUAGUGUGAUACUCAUUUCUGCUGGUUUAUACCUCUGGUUGAGGUUGAUAUGUAUAUUUGAAUGUCAAAUUUGUUGUGCCGUGUGCACAACAAGUCGUUUUUAUGUACAGUAUAUUAAUUGCUA